GAGUUUGAUCCUGGCUCAGAACGAACGCUGGCGGCGCGCCUAACACAUGCAAGUCGAACGAGAGGCUCUUCGGAGUAGUAAAGUGGCGAACGGGUGAGUAAUACAUGGGUAAUCUGCCUUCGAGCAGGGGAUAACCAGCCGAAAGGCUGGCUAAUACCCCAUACGCUUCCGGUCCUUCGGGUAAGGAAGGAAAGCUGCAUCGUGGAUGUGGCACUCGAAGAUGGGCCCAUGGCCUAUCAGCUUGUUGGUGGGGUAAUGGCCUACCAAGGCAACGACGGGUAGCUGGUCUGAGAGGACGAUCAGCCACACUGGCACUGAGAUACGGGCCAGACUCCUACGGGAGGCAGCAGUGAGGAAUCUUGCGCAAUGGGCGAAAGCCUGACGCAGCGACGCCGCGUGGGGGAAGAAGGUUUUCGGAUUGUAAACCCCUUUUAGGAGGAAAGAUGGGGUGGUUCGCCACCCGGACGGUACCUCCAGAAAAAGCCACGGCUAACUUCGUGCCAGCAGCCGCGGUAAUACGAAGGUGGCGAGCGUUGUUCGGAUUUACUGGGCGUAAAGAGCACGUAGGCGGUUUAGUAAGCCCCUUGGGAAAGCUACGGGCUUAACCCGUAAAGGUCGAGGGGGACUGCUAAGCUAGAGGGCGGGAGAGGAGCGCGGAAUUUCCGGUGUAGCGGUGAAAUGCGUAGAUAUCGGGAAGAAGGCCGGUGGCGAAGGCGGCGCUCUGGAACGUCUCUGACGCUGAAGUGCGAAAGCGUGGGGAGCAAACAGGAUUAGAUACCCUGGUAGUC
rnacentral:rRNA from 1 species